AGGCACGUGACUUAGUGGUUAGAGUAUUCGGCUCACAAUCGCAAGGUCAUGAGUUCGAUUCCCAACGAUUCGU
rnacentral:tRNA from 1 species